rnacentral:rRNA from 1 species
GACGAACGCUGGCGGCGUGCCUAACACAUGCAAGUCGAGCGAAGUGAGUACUACGGUACGAACUUAGCGGCGGACGGGUGAGUAACGCGUGGACAAUCUACCCUGUAGACUGGGAUAACACCUCGAAGGGGUGCUAAUACCGGAUAAUGUCGAGACGCGGCAUCGCUUUUCGAAGAAAGGAGAGAAUCCGCUAUAGGAGGAGUCCGCGUCCCAUUUGCUAGUUGGGGAGGGUAACGGCCCACCAAGGCGACGAUGGGUAGCCGGCCUGAGAGGGUGAACGGCCACACUGGAACUGAGACACGGUCCAGACUCCUACGGGAGGCAGCAGUGGGGAAUAUUGUGCAAUGGGGGAAACCCUGACACAGCAACGCCGCGUGAGCGAAGAAGGCCUUCGGGUUGUAAAGCUCAAUAGUAUGGGAAGAUAAUGACGGUACCAUACGAAAGCCCCGGCUAACUACGUGCCAGCAGCCGCCGUAACAC